UGAAAAAGAGACCUUUUUGUACCAAGAGCGCCAUAAAUAACCUGCAAAUGAUCAAACUGACAACAAAAGAUAAAAUGAAGGUAAGAUUGGAAGCCUGAUAAAUACACCACCUCUAAUCCGGAUCCACUAUCUCCAUCCUCAGGCCACUUACAAACUCUCCCAACAUAUGUCAAA